CGGGGCGUAGCGCAGUCUGGUAGCGCACUUGCAUGGGGCGCAAGUGGUCGGAGGUUCAAAUCCUCUCGCCCCGA
rnacentral:tRNA from 1 species